GUGAGUCAUCGAAUCUUUGAACGCACAUUGCGCUUGAGGCUUCGGCCAAGAGCAUGUCUGCCUCAGCGUCGGGUUAAUAUCGCCUUCUUUAACCUUUACGGUUAAAGUUAUGCGGAUCUGGCUGUUCCAGCUAUGCAGUAUGUUUGCCUUUACUGGCAAAUAUGCAUCACGCACCUGGAUCAGCUGAAGACCAGAGGCUAACCAAGGACCCGUCAAGGGCCGCAACUGGGUGGGCUGUCAAAAGCUAUAUUCUUAGUUGUUGGUCUGGGAUUUUGCGUUCGGCCCUCAAACAGGAACCUA
rnacentral:misc_RNA from 1 species